GGAAACCAGCAAAGUGGUCAAGUGAGUCAGUUCAUCAGCUACUUCAAGCAUGGAUGUAUUACCGAACAACUCAUAUCCUACUCCGCCCACACGUGAUGGAGUCAACUGUGCUCAAUGCCGGCGCACCCUUCGCAAAAUGGCGAUUCAGACCUUCAUCACCCAUUCCCAAAUGACUCCACUGCGGGUGUCAGGGAUAAUUGCUUUACUUCACACAGACUUCACCAAGCCAGACAGACAAAGUGGCAUUUCCUGACUGUUCCCAUCCCCGUCUGAGUUAUCUGACACCCAAAAAUACGGCUACGGGGAAGCAGGGAGACGAGGCACCACAGCCUUAUCCCGGUAAGGAGAUGGCUUCUUAUCAGAUCAAGCUAGGAAGUUUAUUUUAUGGAGUAAAUCUGUAUAGAGGGGAUAAAGAAAUGACA
rnacentral:lncRNA from 1 species